rnacentral:rRNA from 1 species
AUUGAACGCUGGCGGCAUGCCUUACACAUGCAAGUCGAACGGUAACAGGUCUUCGGAUGCUGACGAGUGGCGAACGGGUGAGUAAUACAUCGGAACGUGCCUAGUAGUGGGGGAUAACUACUCGAAAGAGUGGCUAACACCGCAUGAGAUCUACGGAUGAAAGCAGGGGAUCGCAAGACCUUGUGCUACAAGAGCGGCCGAUGGCAGAUUAGGUAGUUGGUGGGAUAAAAGCUUACCAAGCCGACGAUCUGUAGCUGGUCUGAGAGGACGAUCAGCCACACUGGGACUGAGACACGGCCCAGACUCCUACGGGAGGCAGCAGUGGGGAAUUUUGGACAAUGGGCGAAAGCCUGAUCCAGCAAUGCCGCGUGCAGGAUGAAGGCCUUCGGGUUGUAAACUGCUUUUGUACGGAACGAAAAGCCCCGGGUUAAUUCCCUGGGGUCAUGACGGUACACAAAGAAUAAGCACCGGCUAACUUCGUGCCAGCCGCCGCAGUAA